UAGUCCACGCCGUAAACGAUGGUCACUAGUUGUUGGGGUCUUGUACCUCAGUGAUUAAGAGAAAUUGAUAAGUGACCCACCUGGGGAGUACGAUCGCAAGAUUGAAACUCAAAGGAAUUGACGGGGGCCCGCACAAGCGGUGGAGCAUGUGGCUUAAUUCGAUGCAACGCGAAGAACCUUACCUAGGCUUGACAUGGAUUGGAACGGUAGUGAAAGCUACCUUCUCUUCGGAGUCGAUUCACAGGUGCUGCAUGGCUGUCGUCAGCUCGUGUCGUGAGAUGUUCGGUUAAGUCCGGCAACGAGCGCAACCCUCGCCUUUAGUUGCUAACAAGUAAUGUUGAGGACUCUAAAGGGACAAACUUCUAUUCGAAGUGGGAAGGUGGGGAUGAUGUCAAGUCAGUAUGGCCCUUACGCCUAGGGGCUGCACACGUGCUACAAUGCCUGGUUCAAUGAGAAGCAAUGCCGCGAGGGUGGGAGC
rnacentral:rRNA from 1 species